rnacentral:rRNA from 1 species
AGAGUUUGAUCCUGGCUCAGGAUGAAUGCUGGCGGCGUGCCUAACACAUGCAAGUCGAGCGGCAGCGAGUUUUACACUGAAUUCUGGAAGCUUCUGGGUAAUAUAGAAGAUUUAUUCAAGAAUUUUGUGUAAAAUGUCGGCGAGCGGCGGACGGCUGAGUAACGCGUAGGAAUUUGCCCCAAAGUGAGGAAUAACUGCCCGAAAGGGUAGCUAAUGCCGCAUAUGGUCUUCGGAUUAAAGCCUUCGGGCGCUUUGGGAGAAGCCUGCGUUGGAUUAGGUAGUUGGUAGGGUAAUGGCCUACCAAGCCGACGAUCCAUAGCUGGUCUGAGAGGAUGAUCAGCCAGACUGGAACUGAGACACGGUCCAGACUCCUACGGGAGGCAGCAGUGAGGAAUCUUCCACAAUGGGCGAAAGCCUGAUGGAGCAACGCCGCGUGAAGGAUGAAGGCCUUCGGGUUGUAAACUUCUUUUAUGAGUGAAGAAUAUGACGGUAACUCAUGAAUAAGCACCGGCUAACUACGUGCCAGCAGCCGCGGUCAUACGUAGGGUGCAAGCAUUAUCCGGAGUGACUGGGCGUAAAGAGUUGCGUAGGCGGUUUAAUAAGUGAAUAGUGAAACCUGGUGGCUCAACCAUACAGACUAUUAUUCAAACUGUUAAACUCGAGAAUGGUAGAGGUAACUGGAAUUUCUAGUGUAGGAGUGAAAUCCGUAGAUAUUAGAAGGAACACCGAUGGCGUAGGCAGGUUACUGGGCCAUUUCUGACGCUAAGGCACGAAAGCGUGGGGAGCGAACCGGAUUAGAUACCCGGGUAGUCCACGCCGUAAACGAUGGAUACUAGCUGUUGGAGGUAUCGACCCCUUCAGUAGCGAAGCUAACGCGUUAAGUAUCCCGCCUGUGGAGUACGGCCGCAAGGCUAAAACAUAAAGGAAUUGACGGGGAC